rnacentral:lncRNA from 1 species
GGUUUAUAUACAAAGAUCACAGUUGCCAAAAUAGAUUGUGGGAGACAGGUGGGAUGGGCUCACCCUGGUUUUUGGACGCUUGUUUGGAGGAGAUUCAUUGAGGACAAUGGGAAGUACAUAUGUUGAGGAAACAGCAAGUUCGAUGGGAUGAACUGGAUUAGAUGUCACGAUUGGAUUCGGUGGAACGCCAUAAUUUAUAUGGGCUCCACUGGAAAGGAGAUCCAGGUGUAUUUUUUGGUCGAGGAGAGUUGGUUUAGUGCGGUAGUGAUGUUUUUUCUUGUUGAUUUGACCUAAUCUAUCAGGUGAUGUUGCCCCGAUACCACUUUAAUCCUUUGGUCAACUCUAAUCAUGCGGAUUUUUAUCAAAAAAAAAAAUCUCCAUCCAUGCGGAC